rnacentral:rRNA from 1 species
CCUACGGGGGGCAGCAGUGAGGAAUAUUGGUCAAUGGGCGCGAGCCUGAACCAGCCAAGUCGCGUGAGGGAUGACGGUCCUACGGAUUGUAAACCUCUUUUGCCGGGGAGCAAGCGUGCGUUCGUGAACGCGUGUCGAGAGUACCCGGAGAAAAAGCAUCGGCUAACUCCGUGCCAGCAGCCGCGGUAAUACGGAGGAUCCGAGCAUUAUCCGGAGUGACUGGGUGUAAAGAGUUGCGUAGGUGGCAUAAUAAGUAGCUAGUGAAAUCUGGUGGCUCAACCAUUCAGACUAUUAGCUAAACUGUUAAGCUCGAGACCGUUAGGGGUAACUGGAAUUUCUAGUGUAGGAGUGAAAUCCGUAGAUAUUAGAAGGAACACCAAUAGCGUAGGCAGGUUGCUGGGACGGUUCUGACACUAAGGCACGAAAGCGUAGGGAGCAAACGGGAUUAGAUACCCUAGUAGUC